rnacentral:rRNA from 1 species
GACGAACGCUGGCGGCGUGCUUAACACAUGCAAGUCCAACGAAGUGGCGAACGGGUGAGUAACGCGUAAUCAACCUGCCCUUCCGAGGGGGACAACAGUUGGAAACGACUGCUAAUACCGCAUACUGAAGGAGGGGAUUGCGUCUGAUUAGCUAGUUGGAGGGGUAACGGCCCACAAAGGCGAUGAUCAGUAGCAGGGCGGGGAGGAUGAACGGCGAAAUUGGGACUGAGAAACGGGCAAGACUGCGACGGGAGGCAGAAGUGGGGAAGCUUCCGAAAUGGACGAAAGGCUGACGGAGCAACGCCGCGUGAGUGAGGACGGACUAAGGGUUGUAAAGCGCUGUUAAUCGGGACGCGGUACCGGAAUAGAAAGCCACGGCUAACUACGUGCCAGCCGCCGCGGUAAUAC